rnacentral:rRNA from 1 species
GAUGAACGCUAGCGGCAGGCUUAACACAUGCAAGUCGAGGGGUAUAGUUAGCUUGCUAACUAGAGACCGGCGCACGGGUGCGUAACGCGUAUGCAAUCUACCUUUUACAGAGGGAUAGCCCAGAGAAAUUUGGAUUAAUACCUCAUAGUAUCUUUGCCUGGCAUCAGGUGAUUGUUAAAGUUCCAACGGUAAAAGAUGAGCAUGCGUCCUAUUAGCUAGAUGGUAAGGUAACGGCUUACCAUGGCAACGAUAGGUAGGGGUCCUGAGAGGGAGAUCCCCCACACUGGUACUGAGACACGGACCAGACUCCUACGGGAGGCAGCAGUGAGGAAUAUUGGACAAUGGGCGCAAGCCUGAUCCAGCCAUGCCGCGUGCAGGAAGAAGCAUCUAUGGUGUGUAAACUGCUUUUGUACGGGAAGAAACACUCCCUCGUGAGGGAGCCUGACGGUACCGUAAGAAUAAGGAUCGGCUAACUCCGUGCCAGCCGCCGCGGUAA